GGCGCCAAGAAACCGCGUAACAGCUGACCUGGGAGUGCCUGUGCGGCGACCUGAAACCCCGUAACCAACAGAACGAAGACAUCUACGUGGCGCCCAAGUCGGUGAUUUUCAGCCUUGUCUCUGCGUGUUCCUCGGGUGAUGUGGCACGCACGUUAACCAUGCCUCCCCCAUGCUCCCACUUAUUUACGGAUCUGCCAUCGCCCCAAAACACCAGGAGAGCGAGUAAAAGGGACCCGACCGUAGCCACCCACUUCUUUCCAUGCCCCAAGCUGCCCACUUAAUCAGCUGUAUCUUUUAGGGCCUCUCGUCAGCUGCCACGUGGCGCAAACCCAGUUCCCCAGUGGAUAUAACAGCAACCACCAAGGAACCCAAUUGAAUUAACACACAGCCUCUAGUUUUUCCUCGUUUUUUUUGGGGGGGGGGGGUCUCUUUUUCUCUUCCAAUUGCUUCUGACAAUGGUCCAUUGCUUCUUCCUUCUUGGUUCAUGCUUCUUUUAGUACAGUAUUAUUGUUGCCUUUUUAACUCUUCUAAUUCAUCAAAAUUCAAACUAAUUAAGAUUUCUUGUUAAUUUUGUGGAAUAGUAUAGUAUGGACCCUUCAUGUGAGUUUUGUGGGUUGGUGAGAGGCGUUGUGUAUUGCAAAUCAGAUUCAGCCAGGCUGUGCCUGCGCUGUGAUAAUUGUGUGCAUUCUGCUAAUUACCUGUCCAGGAGGCAUCAAAGAUCACUGCUGUGUGAUAAGUGCAACUCACAGCCUGCAAUUGCCCGCUGUGUGGAUGACAAAAUGUCUCUGUGUCAAACUUGUGAAUGGAGUGGCAGCAGCGGCUGCUCGGGCCUCGGCCAUUCGCUCCAGCCUCUGAGUAGUUACUCGGGCUGCCCUUCUCUGGCCGAGUUCUCGAGGAUUUGGUCCUCUGUUCUUGAUGUGCCACCUUCUUCUGGUGGCCUGGAUGCCGGUUGUCAUCCGAUGAUUGCGCUCCCUUGCGUUACUAAUUGUUUGGAGCCUAAUGAGGGGUCGGUUGGGUUGAUUACGAGCAAUUUGAAUGACUUGCAACCCUGUGCCAAAUUUGAGCCUUGGAUGGCUCCCUCUUCUGUGAUCCCACCCAGCCUGGAUUACUUGCCUUCGCUCAGUAAAGAUAGGGAUCUUCUGUUUAACCAAGAAUCAGAUCUCUCAAAGGGUUAUUCUAAUUCCAAGAACCUCGAACUUCACUAUGGUGAAGGCCUCUGCGGAGGUCUCAAUGUGGAUGACGUUGCGUUGAACAUUGAGGGUUGUGACGAGAUAUUUGAUUCCUUGCAAGGCUAUUCUAGAUGCAGUUUUGAGGAGGGGGGAACAGAUCAAGUAAUGGAGAAAAAUGCAUCAGUUACUGAAUCUAACGGUCACGUCGAAAAUGCUUUGGAGGCGUCAUCAUCACAGCAACAAGCAUGUAUGGGUUUCCAGUCCUCAAGCAUUGCCGGGUCAGCUAAUAUGAUGCAGGUUAUGAGGAGCAAUGAGAAUAGCAUCCCUGUGAACCCAAGCUGCAGUAGAAAUAUAGACUUGGGUUUCGUAAAUGGACAAAUCCACUCAAGCUUAUCACUUUCACUGUCCAAUAUAACUGGUGAAAGUAGCGCUACUGAUUAUCAGGAUUGCGGCUUAUCGCCAAUGUUCCUGAUGGGUGAAUCACCAUGGCAGUCAAAUUUGGAGGUCAGUUGCCCUCAAGCAAGGGACAAAGCUAAGAUGAGAUACAAUGAAAAGAAGAAAACAAGAAUGUUUGGCAAGCAGAUAAGAUAUGCUUCACGUAAGGCCCGAGCUGAUACCAGAAAGCGUGUGAAAGGAAGAUUUGUGAAGGCUGGUGAAGCGUGUGAUCAGGACCCUCUUAUGUAAGGAACUUUUGAGCUGGAUCAUGAACUUCUCUAGUCUCUUCGUAUCAAGGCCAAGACUCAAAGAGGCCCAAUCUUUCUUUCCUGUUUUCAGAAACCAAUCUUCAACGACGAUUCAGGCAUCAUUCUUCAGCAUGGUACAUAUCUUCAUCUCAUAUCUUCAAUUGCAACUAUACAUGCAGAAUGUUAGUCUAUUUCCAUGUUCCAUCUAUGCAUUGGAAGAUCUUUUCGCUGCAUAGCCUCUUCGAGUUGAUAAGAGUGAUGCUCAUUGGAGUGACCCGUCAACUCUUCAGCGAAGCCUCUACAGCCCGUCAACAUACCAUAGAUUCUCAUAGGUAAUUUACUUAAUCUCAGAGGUACAUCGCACUAGGACGUGUCAUCCUCUGCUCAGUUAUCUGGAGUAGCAGCUUGGAGGUGCCAUCAGGAUGUUAUGUGAUUCUUUCUUCACAUCUAGCAUGCGAAUGACACCCUAAUAAGAUUCAUUUCUCUUCCCCAAUUCAAUGAUAACAUUUCUUCCUUUCCAAAUGAAGCACUCUCUCAUCUUUGCCUUUAUCACAGUUGAAUCUUGUGUUUUCCCUUUGCCAUAAGCUAGUUUUUGGCUUGGUCUGGUGUGUACAGCAUCGAGAGGGUUCUUUUCCAUACAAUAAUAAGCUUCAAAUAAUUCCACUUUGUGAGAUGAAAGAAACCACUAUUCAAUGCUUCAACUCUCUUGUAACUAAGGUUCAUCUCCACUCUCCUUACAUUGUCACUUCAUCAAUUAGUGUCACUUUAUUUCUUGUUUUUUCAGUCACUAUUUUAUUGUUGUCCAGAGUAUGAUCUUUGUUCUCUCUCUUAUUUUUCUAAAAAAAUAUUUUAUUACAAUUUUAUUUUUUGAGUUUUAAUUGUCUUAGUUCACGAGGACAUGGCCAUGAACAAAAAUGGUUGGAGAUCUAGAAUUUAUAUAGCUAACCCUACCUAAUCAAAUUAAGGCUCGAGAUUGUUGGUGAUGUUAUUGGGAAGAUGAGGCCCACGGCAACACUUAUCAAUCUUCUGCAAGCUUAAGGCUUUCAUCUCUCGGUGUAAGCUCUAAUGAUCAAAAUAGUAUUUGGUAACGAGAGAGAGAUCGAGUAAAGUAAUUAGUCAGAAGGAAGUAAAUGCAUACUUGUCCUUGAAGAAUUGAGAGCUUUUAUAGCCCACACAACAGAUGGUCAAGGUGUAAUUUUCACUGGAGACUCUUUCUUUCUAAGACGUGACCCAAGCAUGGUCAAAAGGCGUGAUGUUAGGGGUUUGAGGCAUGGUCAUUAAUGGUCAUUAAUGGUCGGGGCGCUAUAUUUUGCCAUGUGGUGGGCACAUUGAAAACUAUGUAAUCACAAAAAACAAAUUGUGACUUUUAAGUCAUGAAUUUUGGAGAUUUUUCCUAAGAAUUCUCCAAGAACUAUUAUAUUGGAUAGAAAAAUGUAAGUUACCGUUUGAGUUUGUUUAGGGCACUUUUAUAGGACUAAACACCUUUUCAAAACAAACACAACUGCUAUAUAUAGUUGCUGUAUUGAAUUUAAAAAGAGCAGUUAUCGUUUGAGUAGUGAUAAUGAUGCACAAAAUAACUGACAAAAAUUAUAAUUUAAUCUCCAGCCACCAAGUGCCCAAUUUCCUUUUAGGAAUGAGAAUUUUAGACUACGUUUUUUUUUUUUGUUGUUUUCAAGUCAUU